rnacentral:lncRNA from 1 species
CACUACAAUUCCAACGAGAAAACUAACGGCCUUAUUUAUUUUUCUUUUAACUUGAAUAACCAAAAAUGAGUUUGUGUGUACUUUAAUGUACUCGGCUGAUAAAAACACAAGAAGGUGGGACAUAUUACGCACUAGUAUACAUAUAAUAUAUGACUAAAGAUCGCAAUUUCAUAAACUAUACAUUUCAACAAUUACCGGCUCAACCUUAAUAAAACUGAAAUAUUGUUAGCACAUUUUUUAUUUUUUGUUGUUUUAAAAGGUGUCUUUACAAUAUCAUGAUAAUGUGAUUUAAAACGACAAAUGUAAAAAAUUACGAAACGAUGAAAAAACAAUUGGAUUUGAUGGGACUCGAACGUACACCAUCAUGCCCAAUGCGCAGCGUGUAGGCGAUUUGAACCACAUUGACACA